CAUAAUAGUAGGUCUUGGCUAUUUAUGAUGAUGCCCAUUUCGGAGUCAUUUGGCCAUAGGAUUAUGAGGCUCAGAGUUUGAUCCCAUCCAAGAUUAUUCAAGAUCUUGAGAAAGUUUUAUUGAACAGAAAGCUCACGGAAUAGUUGAGCCAAGCAUCGAAAGAGUUAAGUCGGAAGAACAAGAAACGAGUGCACAUGAGUAAUAGGAUUCAGAUCCUCCUAUCCUCCCUCAAAUAAGUUUUUUGUUUUAUUAUCCUUUUAUUUUGAGCAACAAUUCAUGAAAUGUAAUUUCUUGUAAUUAAUCUUCUUGGAAUAUUGUCAACUAUUCAUUCUCUCU